GACUCUAUCUGUUGCCCCUGUGGUCUAGUGGUUAGAAUUCCUGAUUUUCAACCAGGCAACCAUUAUUUGAUUCUCAGUC
rnacentral:miRNA from 1 species